rnacentral:siRNA from 1 species
UAUAUAAUAGGUGCGAAGAGU